rnacentral:rRNA from 1 species
CUUGGAGGAAUGUAUAGCAAUAGCUAACUGCACUAAAAAUUUUAGUGUAAAAUCAACUAUGUUGAAUAAAAUUCUGGGUGGUACUAUGAUAAUGACAUUACUUAUUCAUAAGUCUCGACCAAGUUACGUGCCAGCAGUCGCGGUAAUACGUAGGAGACAAGUGUUAUUCAUCUUUAAUAGGUUUAAAGGGUACUUAGACGGUAAAUAAAGCCUCAUAAAGGGACUGAUUUGCUAGAGUUUUAUGUGAGAAAGUAUUAAAGUACUGCUGGUGUAGAGAUGAAAUUCUGUAAUACCUUGAAUGGCACAGGUUACGGCGAAAGCAUCUUUUUAUGUAAAAACUGACGUUGAAGGACGAAGGCUUUGUGUCUCGAACAGGAUUAGAUACCCUAGUAGUCUAAGCAGACAAUGAUGAAUGUCAUAGAUUAGACAUAUUUUGAUCUAUAAAUGAAAGUGUAAGCAUUCCACCUCAAGAGUAAUUUGGCAACAUUGGAACUGAAAUCAUUAGACCGUUUCUGAAACCAGUAGUGAAGUAUGUUGUUUAAUUUGAUAAUCCGCAAAAAACCUUACCACCUUUGAAUAGAUAUAUUUUAUCAUACAAGCGUUGCACGGCUGUCUUCAGUUAAUGUCGUGAGACUUUGGUUAGUUCCAUAAAAUUAACGUAAACCCUUACUUUAUUUCAUUAUAAAGUAGUUCACCACUAUAUUGGAUGUGAUAAUAGGGAUCAAGACAAGUCAUCAUGACCUAAAUAUUGUGGGCU